rnacentral:misc_RNA from 1 species
AAUUUGAUCAUAUGCAAGGAGUUGUGCUGGUAAUAAAUAUUGCAUGUGCACACUCUGAAGCUAUAUAAUAUAUACACCUGUGAACCAACUGUAGUCUGGAGAAAUCCUGACUAUGAUUACUCUAUAUAACUCUUAUUGUAUGUUACAUAGAACGAUCUCAUAUUGAAGUUUUGUUUUUUUUUGCAAGUUUCUCUUAAUUGAAAAAUAUACAACUUUCAACAACGGAUCUCUUGGCUCUUGCAUCGAUGAAGAACGCAGCGAAAUGCGAUAAGUAAUGUGAAUUGCAGAAUCCAGUGAAUCAUCGAAUCUUUGAACGCACCUUGCGCCCUUUGGUAUUCCGAGGGGCAUGCCUGUUUGAGAGUCAUUAAAUUCUCAACCUUACAAAAUUUUGUAUUUGUCAAGGCUUGGAUGUGAGAGUUGCUAGUUAAGAAUAUCUGACUGGCUCUCUUUAAAACUAUUAGUAGGACAUAUAGAAAUGCCUGCGGUUGGUGUGAUAAUAUGUCUACGCCUAUACCAAAGGGGUUUCUAGCUUGUAUGCACUACUUAUAAAACCAUGCGCAUAUAUCUAGCAUAUAAGUGCAUAUAUUGACCAUUUGACCUCAAAUCAGGUAGGACUACCCGCUGAACUUAAUGACGAACUAUAAUGCCAUUAAUUUGGUGUUUUAGGGAAUCAGGACUGUUACUUUGAAAAAAUUAGAGUGUUUAAAGCAGGCUCACGCUUGAAUACAUUAGCAUGGAAUAACGGAAUAGGACGUUUGAUUCUAUUUUGUUGGUUUCUAGGAUCGACGUAAUGAUUAAUAGGGAUAGUUGGG